rnacentral:lncRNA from 1 species
GGAAUGUCCACAUUAGCCCAGAAAGAAUGUAGUCGAAACAUGAUUGUUUCCCCCAUCCCCCACAUUUUCCACCUUAUCUGCUGGGAUCCCUGCCAUGACUUGGAAAAAAAGAAGCUGGAGGUGGAGAGUGAGAAGAUGGAGUUGGUCACACUCAGAGGAGAGAAAAAUGCCCUCAGAAUAUGGGAACCAUCCUGAUUGGAAUAUACAGUGUUGAUAGUGGCUUACAGCCAAGGACUGACUCUCUGGGUGUGCAAAGGUUGUCCUCUUACAUCAAGAAAAAUAUUUGCAAUCUGUGAUUGGCUGAUUCCAUGGAUGUGGAAGCUGCAGAUACUGAGGGCUGACUGUAAAUCCCUGCGUCUAUACUUCGUCACAUGGCAACUGAGCUGAACUCACCCCUGAGCUGCGCUAGUGAUUUACGACACACAAUUUAGCAGUUCACAUUUGUCAGGCCUUUUGGUACACAGUAGCCUUUGGUGACUGGAAGUAGAUGGAGGCCCAAAUCUUCUCUCCAUUUCUUUGGCACUAAGAGCUAUGUUACAAUGAAAACAAGACCUAGGAACAAGGCACACAAAUGAUCACCUUGCUUGAGAGACUUAAUCCAAGAUGGACACAUACGAUCCUGGUGGCCCACCUUCCUGUCAGUUCUGGUGACAGAGUCCUUUGUGAAGUGGGAGGGCAAAGCACCAAAUGGAGCCCCACGUCUUGUUUAUUACAGGGAAGAAGGAUUCCCUAUGGGUAACUUAAUACUGUUUUAAAAUUGUUGUUACACAUACACAUAAGAUACUUAUAAGCAGGUACAUCACUUUGUAUAAUGCAGUGUUUGUAAGUAACUUCUUAGGCAACAUAAUAUCACAUGCUGUUAAUUCUCAUGUAAUCCCAUUGUGUCACACUAACAAUCCCGGUAAUAGGGUCACAUCAAUACUAACACAAGAAUGCUAAUAACUCCAAACCACUACCUCCUAAAUAAAGACACAUGCCAUUAUCAAUUGUCAUCUCACCAUCUCCCCUUCUGCAUGACUAGCCUAUUCUAGCAUCAUCUCUUCCCUGGGCCACUGCAAGUUUCCUCAACUGAAUUUAUUUAUUUAUUUUUGUUGUUCAUAGUCACAUUGAGAUGUUAAUAAAUCUG